GGGUCGGUUCGGCCGGAUUUUACACAAGUGUUGCAUGGCUGUCGUCAGCUCGUGUCGUGAGAUGUUGGGUUAAGUCCCGCAACGAGCGCAACCCUCAUCCUUAGUUGCCAUCAGGUAAUGCUGAGUACUUUAAGGAAACUGCCAGUGAUAAGCUGGAGGAAGGUGGGGAUGAUGUCAAGUCAUCAUGGCCUUUAUGGAGUGGGCUACACACGUGCUACAAUGGUGUCUACAAUGGGCUGCAAGGUGCGCAAGCCUAAGCUAAUCCCUAAAAGACAUCUCAGUUCGGAUUGUACUCUGCAACUCGAGUACAUGAAGUUGGAAUCGCUAGUAAUCGUGGAUCAGCAUGCCACGGUGAAUACGUUCUCGGGUCUUGUACACACUGCCCGUCACGCCAUGG
rnacentral:rRNA from 2 species